AUGUCGAGCUGUGUUCAUCUUAAUUUCUCUUUAAUGAGGGUUUAUUUUUCGAUUUCAGUGGGCAGCCUAGGACUCAUGGCAGAGAACGGCACAGUGGUAACAGAAUUCGUUCUGCUGGGGUUCCGGCUGUCGGCCGAGCUGCAGACGGGUCUCUUCUUCGUGUUUCUGCUCCUCUAUCUCGUCACCCUGGGAGGCAACCUGGGCGUGAUGGCGCUGAUUCAGAGUGACCCUCGCCUCCGGACGCCCAUGUGCUUCUUCCUCAGCCACCUCUCCUUCCUGGACGUUUGCUACUCCUCCGUUAUUGUCCCGCAGCUGCUGGAGGCCUUGCGGACCGAAAAGAGGGCCAUCGGCUUCGAGCGCUGCGCCACCCAGUUCUUCUUCUUCACCCUCUGUGCCAGCACUGAGUGCCUCCUUCUGGCCGUGAUGGCCUACGACCGCUACGUGGCCGUGUGUGGCCCUCUGCUCUACGCCUCGGUCAUGACGCCCCGCACGCGCCUGGGGCUGGUGGCCGGGGCCUACGGUGGCGCCGCGGCCAACGCCGCGGUCCGCACCGGGUGCGCCUUCUCCAUCUCCUUCUGCAAGUCCAACCACGUGGAUUUCUUCUUCUGUGACCUCCCACCUCUGCUGAAGCUUGCCUGCAGUGAGACCAGGCCACGAGAACGGGUGAUCUACCUUUUAGCUUUCUUGGUCAUUGCGACCAGCCUGUCAGUGAUUCUCAUAUCCUACCUGUUCAUCAUUCGGGCCAUUCUGAAGAUCCGUUCAGCGGGUGGCAAAGCCAAGACCUUCUCCACCUGCGCUUCUCACAUAACUGCAGUGGCGCUUUUUUUUGGGACGCUCAUAUUCAUAUACCUGAAAGGUAACAUGGGAAAAUCUCUCGGGGAGGACAAGGUUGUGUCAGUAUUUUACACUGUGGUCAUCCCGAUGCUGAACCCAGUGAUCUACAGCCUGAGGAACAAGGAAGUGAAGGAGGCUCUGAAGAGAGCUCUCAGCAGGAUGAAGGUUUCCCCAGUAGAGUAA
rnacentral:lncRNA from 1 species